UUUUGGUUUAACGGUUCAUUAUAGUUAUCAAUUAUAUUCUAUUACGAGUACAUCACUAAAAUACACCGUUUUGCAAAUCAAAAUGUUUCAAUUCAUAAUUCUUUACAUUAUUUUCAUCACUAUUGAUCUACACUCGUGUAAUUAUGGUAACUAUUUGAUUGUAUUUACUAACUUACAUACGAACAACAUAGGUUACAAUUUACAUGUUAACAGAUAUGAACUUAGAUAUUAAGAAAUAACAUAAUUAACUAUAUUAUUUAUGAAAAUUUUCGGUUUUUGCAUUUUCAAAACAUUAAUUAUUAUUAAACCAAAUUUGUAUGCUCUUAAAGUGAACUGCAAGAAAUCACUUGAUUCAUCUUAUAAAUACAAUUUUAUAUCACUACAAAAAUGAUUAAUAAAAAAUAUUUCUUUUUUAUAAGUAAUACGUAUGAUUUUAUUUUUAAAAAAAUUAUUUUAAAUUAAACCUACGCCUCCGUUACUCCUCUGGAAUAAUCACUAGUUUUCGUAUUGUAUUUAUUGAAAAUUAAACCUAUAGUUCAUAAAAUACAACUGUAAUAAAUUAUUUUCUAAGAAAUUAAUAAAAUAUUAUUUAAUUAGAUUCAGCAUGCUUAGGUAAGUUCAUUGCAAAUAUAAUAUAUAUUCGUAUACCAUACAAUAUACAACAUAACAUAAAAUUGUCGUUAACAUUUGGUAAAUUAAGUAAAUUAUUAAUCAUAUAAAUUUAUUGUAGUAAAGAAUCGAUAUGUUUACAUUAAAACUUCCUUACGAUCAAUAAGUUAAAUACGUACACUUGAAUACCUACUGAAAAAAAUCCAGCCGUUAGCCUGAUAGUUUUAGUAGUUUUAUAAUAUUUUCUAUAUAUAAAAUAUAACUUCAAUUUCUAAUUUUUUAUCCAAAAUUAAAGCUAUAAAUAUUAUAUUGAUUUUACGUCAUUGUUUAUCACUUGUUUCGUGUAAUCAACACAAUAUAAAUAAUAAUAGUAAAAUGUUAAUAUCGAAAAUUAGCUGUCAUAAAUAAUCAAGUUUAUUGAAUAAAAUCGUGAAAUAAAUAUCUCAUACAAAGAUAAUAGAUAUUGUAUUCCAAAUUCUUUUGAUUACAAUAUUUUAAUCUAUAAAAAUUGGUAAAUAUACAGAGUAUAUUUUUCUUUUAUUAUGAACGAGCAAUUUAACCGGUUAAUUUUUCUUUCCAAGAUGAAUUUUCUAUUAUUUUAAAUAGAAAUGAUACCUAAUUUAUUUUAAAUAGAUUAUUAUAAAUAAAUUUGUUAUGCUAACGAUUGUUUUAUUUAUAAUGACAUACGAUUUUGCGAUUUAGAUAAGAGGCAUUGGGUCAUAAUACUAUAAGAAAAAAUAUUUUAGACUCUGAGUAUAACGAAGAACGUAUUGGUUUUACAAAGAUGUUUAUUUUUUUAUUUUUUUUUACUGUGUACAAAAAUUCUACAAGAAAUCUGGCUGCGCUAUUUACGUGUGGCACUAUUUAUAAAAGGAAAGAAUUGAGCGGACUGACGUAGUUUCGAAAUUAUAACUUUGUGAAGCUAUACAAGUGAACAUUUUAUCACUCCUGAGAAUUAAAUACGCAUCAUUGCAACAACAAUUCAAGAUAAAUUAUUAAUACCGUUGUCAGAGAAUUGCGUUAUAACUAUGUUUACUUUGAGUAAAAUGACUGGUUUAUGAUAAAAAGAUUAUUUAAAAAGAAUGUAUAGUGCGUUACUUUACGGAGAGAAAAUCUUCACUUAUUCUUAUAAUAAUUUAAUGUUGGUUGAUUAUGACACAUUUUUAAAACAGCGGAACUAAAUACUAGUUUUCCUAGUGAGUACAAUUAUUUUGAAUAAUAUAGGUAUUAUAAUUAUUAAUAAUUGACGUGUAGUGCAAAAGCUGUUUUUACAAUAUUGCGUGUAGUAUUUAAAUUUUAAAUAAUCAUGAAUUUUUUGUAUGACAUUUUGAAUUAGCGUGUACAAGUGCUCUGGAUUGUGCCAUUUAUGCAAUAAAUCACAUGUGUAUGUAUAUUAUAAUAUUAAUAUAAGUUUUUAAUAAAUACGAAAGUUUAAGUACUCGGGCAUUAUCUCGAAAAGUAUUAGAAUACAUACGUAAAAUACAUAAGAAACAAACGCAGCUCUAAAAUUUUAUAUAACCAUUAUUUUUUUCGCACUGAUGUUUGGAGAAUUUAUUAUAAUAUAGUAUAUUUUUUUGGAUUCUAAGUGUAGGGAAUAAUCUGUUUUGUCCUGUGUACGAAAAUUCUACCAGAAAACUUGCUCAGAUAUACAUGUACGGCACGUUUUCUGAAAAGGAAUGUUGUCCAGAUGGUACACGUGGAAGGUCUUUUUUAUGAUUUUCUUUUGGUUUUCAUAAUAUCAGGAAAAACUAAGAUAAAACGUAAGAAAAACAGGAAAUAUACGAAAAUAAUUCUUUUAUUAAUUUUUAAAUUUUGUUAUUUGUUGUAAUUCAAUUAAAAAUAUUCAUAAACACUUGAAAAUAGGAAAAAAAAAAUUAUAUUUGCCUUUUCUAGACGCGGUCAAAUUUUCAAAAUAUUUGAGCUAUUUUUAUGCUUUUGAUGAAAAUGUUAAUAUUUUUGUUGAAAUGCAGUUAAAAAUAUUUGUAUAGACUCUAUGGGCCUAAAAUUUAGACAGAAAUCUUAUAUUCAUCUUAUAUUUAAGACAUUUUAAUUUUGCGAGUUUUUAACAAAAAUCAUUUGAGUAAAACAUUAUGUGGAACAAAUCUAGUUUAUCAAUUUUAAAUCCCGAGCGUGGCGAGGGAGCUAUUUGUUUUACUAAGAUGUUUAUUUUUUUUUCUCCUUCCUUCUUAUAGUCUAUAGACAUGAUUUUUCUAGUAAACUUGCUCCNUUUGUUAUUUGUUGUAAUUCAAUUAAAAAUAUUCAUAAACACUUGAAAAUAGGAAAAAAAAACUUAUAUUUGCCUUUUCUAGAGCCGGUCAAAGUGAAGUACCGAUAUUAUGCGGAUAUUAUACUCGUGUGUUAUAUUAAAUAACUCUAUAUUGUACCUCUUCAAGCAUAUUUAUCGUGAUCUAAUGAUUAUUCAUACCUGUUAUCAUCCUAGGAUUUCCGAGUCCAAACCAGUGUUUCGAAAAAGAAAUUGUUUCUAUUUCUUUUUCCUUUUUUACCUAAACAAAGGAAAAACAAAUACAUUUGGGUGUACCUAGAGACCCAAGCUAUCACUCGCACUAUUUAAUCGUAAAAUACCCUUCGAUUUGUUGUGCAAACUUUUCUACCAGCAAUUAAAUCGAUAGCGUUUUUCCUGAAAGAAAAUCUGACUAUGUUGGUAUUUUAGGUACGUCAUUUUUUGAUUUUCUCAGAAAUUAUAAAAAAUCAGGGAAAACCAUAAGAAAACCGGGAGAAACGUAGAAAAACGGGAAAAUCGGUACAAUAUUAAACAAAUAUUACAAAGAAAAUAUAUAAUGCCUAUUUUUCUAUAAUAUGACAUAUAUAUUGUUGACAAAGCAUCACUAUCAACUGAACUGAGAUCAGAAUCGGUUUUUUUAUUUGCAAUGGUUUACCAUUGCUUAUAAAUAUACAUUAAAUUACCUAUAACAGUGGCUGUACCGGUCUCCACUAUCCUAGGACGUCUUUUUAAUUUCAGUUAACUCCAACUCAACUCUAACGCAAUAACCUUACAUAGGUAUAAUUAAAUCUUUCCAAAAUUAAUUUAAUUAUUCGUACGUAUUCAACAUAGCGUGUAUCAAAAGCGGACUACGAUGAUGCUAUAAGAGAUUUUAAUCAAAUUUGUGUUCGCAAAGGCAAAUAUAAAACAAAUAAUGGUUAUGUUGAAUACAUAACAUUUAUUUUCAAUAUAUAUAAUAUUGUAUACUUUAACUUUUAGUACUUGUAAAUUGUAAGAGUAAGUGCAGUUUUUAUAAUUAGUCAUAAUAUAUAGGAUUUACUAUAAUAAUGAGCUGAAGAUUUACAUUAAAAAUAAUGUGAAAGUUUCAAUCGUAACGAAUUUUUUUUCUCCAUAGACUUUACACUGAAAUAUUAUCUUUAUUUGUAUUCGAAAAUUAAAACAGGUAUGCAUUAUAAAUUUAUUAAUAAUAUAAUGUUUUAGAAAAUAUUCUAGGAAAAUUAAACAAAAUAUUAAAAUGCGAUUUAGUAAAAUAACGACAAAAUGUAUGGUGUGCAGUAAAACAAAUUUUAUUUAUUAUAGUAUAAAAAUAGACUUAUUUAGGUAGUGAAAUGUAGGAUGGUCGAAUUAAAGCAGACAUACUUAACAGAAUAACACAAGCAGAGGGGUUUUUAGGACUAUCUAUUGACCACUAAUAGUGUUAUUUUUCUGAUAAGUAAAAUGUUCCUAAUGAUGUAUGAGUGAAAUGAGGCUUUGUACUCUAUAUGUAUUAAUAUUAAACUGCAGAAGGGAAAACUAGAAGCUGUUGAAAUAUAAUGUUAUCGAAAACUGUUUAAGAUUAAAUAGAUUGAAAGAAUAACAAAGAAAAAGUAUUCAGCGAAAUAAACGAAAGGCGAGAAUUUUAGGAUACUAUACAAAUCAGAAAAAAUAAAAUGAUAUAAUGUCUACGAGCUACGUCACGAUAGUUUGACGAAAUUCGUCAUAGAAGAUGGCGUGGUUCAUAACAGAAAAUCAACUAUAUGUGAAUGUCUAUGAAAUGAUACACAUAAAUAAGGAUAGUCACAAAGAAUUAUAGGAAUUGAGUUACGAAACGUAAGCAUGACGAACAAACGGAUGAUCAAACGGCUGAUUUUACCAGUUUUGGGGUAGUUAAAUUUAAAAUUCUCUAAGAUUUUAGAAAUUUACCGUCCAUAUUUUAUACUCUGAGCGAAGUGAAGAAUGUAUUAAUUUUAUAAUGAUGUUAUUUCAUUUUUUUAUUUUCGUAUACUGUGUACAAUUUUUCUACCGAAAAUGUUGCUUAAAAUUUCGAGUAUAGCUUCUUUUCUGAAGUGAAAUUUUAUUUAAUUGUAUAAAAACAUAGGAUCAACGAAAAAACUUAAGAAAUUAAGCUUUUAUUUUUUUCAAUUUGGUUUUUUUUAAUUUUAGUUCAAUUAAAAAUGUUCGUAAAGACAUGAACUUUAGACAAAAACUUAUAUUUACUUUUUCUAAACAUGGUAAAAUUGUCAUAACAUUUGAUCCAUUUCUUAGAUAUUCGUAGAUAUUUUAAUUUCGCGCGAUUUUGACGUUAUUUUUAUUCGGUAGGCAUUCAUGGAUACAACUGUUUGACCAAAUAGAAAAUUUAACAAGAGGUUCAGUAUAGUGUAGAGGUUGCACUCAGUGGUCAACAAAAAAAGUUGGGUUUAAUGUAGUAUUGUUUUUUUUUUUUAUAUAGAUUUUUAUUAACAAAUUUUGAGGGAAAUCUUACAUAUUAUGGUCUAUCAAAACAUGUGUAAUCAAACGCCGAUCAUAAUUAUUUUUCGUGAGAAAUCGUUGCAUACAAAAAAUACAUUAAAUUUCCCUUUAUGUACUACCCAUUCAAACUUUCCCCUACAACAGUGGUCCACCCCAUAGUGCGAAGUAUGUUCGUCUUUUAUUAUACGAGUACAUAUUUACAUACAAAGCUAUAGCUAUAACUAAACAGGUAGGUACCUAUUUUUCGAAUCGCUGAGUAAUAUGAGACGUCUACUUGAAAUAUAAAGUAUUAAAAAAAAAAAUCGGUAAACCAACAUUUCUUUAUUAUCAGAUACGUUAAUGAGGCCGACAGAAUUUUGUGAGAGUCAAGAAGGCAAGUUUGCUAAAAUUAAGUAACAUUAAAAAUUAUAUACUAUGUUAAUUCAUUUGUCAUUUAACACGUUUUGAUGUUGCAUAAAAUAUUUAACAUGAUGUGUGAUAAUUUCUUCUAGCAAAAAAUAAACAAAAUCUCCAGGGUAAGACUUUGAUGUAACACUCUGCUUUCAGAUCUCAAAAAAAAUAUUAUUAUAUAGUGUCUCGUAUAUAACAUUAAUAAAUAAUAAAAUUAUAAAAUGGUUAAUACUCUUAAAUAAAUAUAUAAAUAAAAAAUGUAUACAUAAAAAUAAAAUUAAUUAAUUAAUGAAUACGUCGCCUGGAGUAUUACGAUAAAAGUAUUAUACGACCGUUUUCGAUUUGAAAAUUCAUUAUCAGGUUUAUCACAGCUAAAAUGUAAAACGUAAGACUGAAUAUAAGAAAUUAAAUAAAGGAACACUGGACGUAAUAGCUUCGCAAUCAUUCUGAAGUUUUUCCCUAAAGAUAGUUUACGGAAGUACAAUUUUGCGUUUCAUGAAGAACUGUUAUAACAGAAAACUAUUAGUCUACCCACUAGACUACCCACUUUCAACCUAUUUGUUUUCAUUUGUUAUUAUUCAUUGGUGACACGGUCAAAUUCGAAAAAAGAAUAUGGGUAGAAAAUGGCACGGACAACGCUGGACGAGACAGCUAGUAUAACAUAUUAUAUAAAAUUAUAUUUUUAUUUAAUAUUAAUACCUCUCGAGGAAUUUAAUAUUCGUAUAAACAUUCGCAUUCAAUACGUUCAAACAAAUUAACGCUAUAAAACAAAUUGUAUUUUUUCUUUAAAAGAUCCAGGAUUAAUUCGAUUUAUUGAAGAGGGUAAGAUCAAAUAUGUAUCAUUGGCUAUUGCAGUAUUGCGUGUAAAUUUUAUAUAUUAUUUUAGCGUCAAAUCCUCAGGAAAUUUAAGUUUACAAUUUUUUAUACACCAAUAUGUUAUAAUAUAACUACAAAAAUUAAGAAAUUAAAAAUUAUAUAUAACCCGUAUAACAUUAUAAUAUCAUACCUUUAUUAUAAAUAAUACGUAUCUAACCUAACCACCAAACCCUAUGUAAUUUAAUAAUUUAAUCAGUAAAAUUAAGUGUAAUUCUUUGAUGUUGAAAUCGAAAUAAAAUAAUUGAUAUUUACUAAUGAUUAUUUUUUUAGAAAAUAGUAAUACACUCAUUAAUGAUGGUAAGAAUAAUCAUAGAUAUUAUUAUACGUACAAAAAACAAAAAAUUAUUUUAAAAUAUUGGUAUCUUGUUGAAAUAAUAUUUUUAUAAGUAUAAGUAGACACAUGAUAUUAUUUGAAGGAAACAAAUUAAACUCUAAGAAAAUUAAAAAAACUAUUCUAUCAGAAUAUAGAUACACAUAAUAUUAUCAUAAUAUAUAUUAUUAUACAGUUGUAAAAUUAGUUUUAUUAUAAAAAUUAAAAUUAUACGUUUAGUUAUAAGGUUGUGACCAAUGGGUAGCCGUCUACAUCCUGCCUUCUUUUUAAUCCUGGACCUUGUUCGUACCUACCACAUUUACUUGUUCAGCUUAUUGCGUUACAUAUAACGGAUUAAAAAUAUAUUUUUAUAAAUAAAUACAAACAAUCACGAGCAACAGAAAUACUAGGGUCGACAUUUUCCCCAGCCGACUUGUCGCCGUAAAUAUUUUAUUUUUUUUUUUUUUUUAUUAAUAACUGUUCUAAAAUACUUAUGGUUCCGAAAAUUCGUGUUAAAUUUUAUUCUAUAGAGGUAUUUAAACCUCGGUAUUUCUUGUGAAAACUUUGAGCAUAAACAUAAUUACGGAGGGGGUUAAAAGUUAAAACCCCACUAAGCACAUCCUUGAUUCUUACAACAUAUAUAUUAUACUAAAGGUGUGAACAAUGAUAAAAAUACAUCCUUCUCCAGCAACAACAUCGUUAAACUCGGUGUGAAAUUCAACGGACGUUUUCUCACUUCAAUCUUCUCAUAAAACAACUGUAAAGUUCAAGUUUGAAUUAAUUUUGCCUAAAACUUGGCAACCGCUAUAAAUUUCCAAAAAUUUCGAAAAGAUAAAUAAAUGUAUACAUAGGUUAAUAACCCUGUAUACAUAACAAAUACAAUAUAGUGGAACAGUCUCCACUUUUGGGGAAAAUUCUACUAAAAAUAUAUAUGUAUAAACGAAUUUAUUAAAUAAAUAUAAAGUGAACUGCUCAAAAGUUGCCAAUUAGACACAGUUUACUAUUCAGUACAAUGAGUAUAUAAUUAUAUGUAUUUUUUUUUUUUUACGUGUUUAAAAAUUUAACACUGACUUGAUUUAUAUCUAAUAUGAUAACAGCUUAUUUUAGUAAAAUAAAUAAUACAUUUUGUGUAUUAAUAUAGAAUAUCAUGAACUAUAUCCGGAAGGUAAGAUGGCAUAAUACCUAUACGGGACAUAGAUAUAUUAUAAUAAUAUUAAAAAAAAAAUAAUUUCAUGCACUGAUAUAUAUUGAAAUGUAUUUCUAUCUGAAGCUAACGUAUAUUCAGAUAAAGAAAGUCGCAAGUCUAAUAAACAUAUAUUAUAGUUAACAAUGAAUCUAUAAUAUAAUAUAGGUACUUAAGACAUACGACUUCAAACAUAAUAUUAGUAUAACUGAAAUUGGAUUUUAAUUCGUUUUUAUUCAUUUUAUUUAAGAAUCCAAUUAUGUACCAAUUCUCGAUGGUAAGAUUUUAAUAUAAUGUAUUUAAUAUUACUGGUAUUUACUUAUAUACAAUUAAAUCUGCUAUUAGCUUUCCUUUAUGGCUACUCUUCCGACACUCACUUAUAAAUGGAAUUUUCCUUUCGAUAUGGAAAAUUAAUUGUGUCAUUCCUGUACACAAAUCAGGUGACGUGAAAAAUUAUCGACCUAUCUCAAUACUCUCCCGUUUAGCAAAACUGUUUGAAUCUCUUGUUUUCAUGAUUAUCCAGCCAUCUGUCAACUCCAUACCGAUAGAUGAACAGUAUGGCUUUAAACCGGGCCGUUCCGCUACGAUGAGCUCAAUUGCGUUCAAUAAUUAUAUCCUUGAGACCUUUAAAAACCACUCUCGGGUAGAUACAAUAUUUACUGAUUUAUCAAAGGCCUUUGACUGUGUAAACCACUCAGCCCUUAUACAAGUUCUUUACAAGUUGGGCUUUGGAGAUCCCCUCCCAUCAUGUAUCAGAUCAUAUCUAGCAGUUUGAACACAGUGGGGUCAAUAAAAACGGUCAGCAAACGGUGGCUACUACGGUACCUUCUGAUGUUCCCCGUGGUGGCUAUUAUUAUAUUAUAUUAUAUUAUAUAUAUCAUUAUAUUACUAUAUAUAAAACCGCUAUUAUUUGCCUUAUUCUUAAACGGCUUGAAACGAACGUUGCCCAACUGUCACUUCCUUAUUUUCGCUGACCGCCUUAAACUAUUCUAAAAAAUUAUCCCAAUAAAUGAUUAUCAUUUACUGCAAUCUAGUUUGGACGAUGUAGUUUCCUAAUUCACUGGGUCUAUGCCUCAAUAUGGAAAAGUGUCGGACUAUGUCGUUUGCUACAUGUCGAUUGAUUAUUUCUUUCCAAUACAAAAUCUAUGACUCUACUCUUGUAUCGGUAAAGAGUGUGAAAGACCUGGGAUUUAUUUACACUCCUACAUUUGACUUUCACCCACACAUUGAAUCAUCUUCUUGCAGGGCUCUCAAAGUACUUGGAUUUGUCAAGCGAAUAGCCUCUGAAUUUAAGCUUGAGUAUUCUUUAAAAUCUCUUUAUUUUACCUUAGUUCGAUCUAUUAUUGAAUAUUUAUCCGUGUUCUGAGAUCCUCACACAGCGUCAAGCUACCUACAACUAGAGCGCGUCCAGAGACGCUUUUUAUCAUUCACUUCCUAUGUUCUGAAAAUUGAUCACACCCCGCAUGUUUCCCUGUUCUAGUCGUACUCAAACUCACAUCACUGGCUAAUAGAAGAGCAGCUGCAAAUUUAUUAUUUCUACAUAAACUCUUACGCGGUUAAAUAUAUGCUCCCACUCUCCUUUCCAGUAUCAACUUCAAAAUGCCACGGCGUUCCCGUCGCAACAACCCUAACUAUGGUAUUAUGCGCAUGGCUAAUGAACACCCAUCCUAUUGACCAUAAUCACUUUGUAUUGUUUUUUCAUUAUUUUUCUGUUAAUUAAAAAUUAUAUUUAUAUGUAAUAUGUAAUAUGUGGGAAUGUCCGUAAUGUUUUGAAUAAAUAAAUAUGUAUUGCACAUUUGUAAAAUGUAUAUUUAGGUUUUUCUUGAGUAUAAUUCACAACGAGUUUUGUCUUUUCGUUUUAAAUGCUUUCAAAUUUAAACGUAUCGUUCAAACGCACGAGUAAUUUUUUUUUAAUUUUUUUUUUACUUUUAGAAAAUGUUAAUAUUCGUCUCCUCGCAGGUAAUAUAAUACAUGUAUACGUGUAAUUCAUCAUACGUUGUACAAUAUAUAGUUACACAAUCAUCGGAAUUUUUUUUUUUUUUCCAGAAAAAAAUAAUAAUCUACUGCUUCUUGAGGGUAAGGUCAUAUAUAAUAUUACACGCAUUACCGAUAAAGUUUAAAUCAGGUGUCCUCAACCCACGGCCUGUUUUGUCUUUUUUCGAAGCCCGUGAGCACAUUUUAAGCAUAGCAUCUAUUCAUUCUAUUUUGAUUAAAUUAAAACGGCUAUCAGACAAUAACAAUUCUCUAUCAUCUCUAUCAAAAACGUUGGUCGCCAUAUUUAUAGUCAACACAAUAAGAUAAAUUUACAUUAGAUGAACGUGUGAUCCGGGUAUAAUCUGUCUAUUUCAUAGAGAGUUGUCUGUUGACGGUUAAUUAAUACUUAAUAAGUAGUCAGUUUUCGAUUUGUGUCACAUUUAAAAUUUCACGAAUUCUCGACAUAAUAUCAAUUAUUUCAGUUUGUAAAAAACUAAAAAUCUCAUAUAUCAAUCUCACUAAAAAAUAAAUAACAUGAAUUUUAAAAUUUACUGUACCUAUGUUGUAAUAAUAAAAUAAUUAAUAAAUAAUUUGCAAUAUAAAAUGUAUUUUUUUGUUUCUUUAUAUAUAUACUGUUUUAAUAGGCAUUAAUAGGUUGAAGACCCUUGACUUAAAUUAUACUAUAUUAUAUAAUAUAAUGAUGCGUUUCUAAAUGUUCGAUACUUGUAAGUACAGUAUUGAUUUUCAACAUUUCGUCAGAUUGCCUGUUUAUUACGUAUUUAAUAAACAAAAAUAAAAUAUAUUUUUAUAUUUUAUAUUAUAUUUUUUUUUAGAACAUGGUAACCGACUUGCUCCUGACGGUAAGUCUAAUAAAAUAAAAUAUAUUUUUAAUAACCUAAACGCGUACAUUUUUAAUCAUUUUGGUACCUAUGCUGUUUGUGAAUUUCAGUAAAUCUAAUUUUCGGAUUGCAAUUUGAAAAUCGUUAGAAUAAAAAUUUAUUGUAUAAUUAAUUAAUUACUAUAUUAAAUUAAUAUAAACUAUUCUAUAUAGUUUCACAUCUAUUAUAAUGAUUUUAAAACCUUUAAAAUAACUAAUUUAUAAUAGUUAACAUUAAAAUGUAGGUUUUGAUUUUUAGAUUCUGAGUAUAGCGAAGAAUGUAUGAUUUUACUAAGAUGUUUAUUUUUUUUUUUUUUUAAUUUUUAAUGCUAUUUACAAUAAUUUUAUCAGAAAUUUUGCUCCGACGGAUAUGAAUAUACAAUGCAGACCCUUUUCUAAAAAGGAAAUUUUCUUAAAGUGGUGAAAAUUAGAGAAAUUGAGAGAAAAAUUGGAAAAAAACACGAAAAAAAUGCUUUUGUUAUUUGUUGAAUUUCAUUUUCGUAAGUACUUAAAAUUUAGACAGAAAAUAUAUAAUUGCCUUUUAUAGACAUAAUAAAAUUGUCAAAACAUUUGAGCUAUUUUUAAUUUUUUAUACAAAUUUUAAUAUUUAUAUUGAAAUUCAGUUAAAAAUGUUCGUAUCGAUUUAAUGGACUUAAAAUUUGGACAAAAACUUAUAUUAGCCUUUUCUAGACGCGGUAAAAUUUUCAAAAACUGUUAACCAAUUUUGAGCUAUUUAUAGACAUUUUAAUUUUGCAAUUUUUAUACGUAUUUUUUAUUCGGUAGGUACUGUGUGAUAAAAUUGUUGGACUAAACAAAAAUGCGUGAAAAUUUAAAAGGAGAUUCAUUAAAAGUCUUAUUUUGUGGUAAAAAAAAAAAAUUAAGUUUAAUGUAGUAUUUUUUUUUUGUAAAGUAAUUUUAAUAUCAAAUUUUAACGAAAAUCUUUCGAGUAAAAAAUUAUGUGAACAAAUCUAAUUUUUCAAUUUUUUUUUUUUUUAAUAUACGUACUCAUAUAUUGCCAAUUUAUGAACGAUAGUUAAGUAAGAAUUGAAUAGACUGACAUAGUUUCAAAAUCAUAGCCUUGUGAAGUUCUGAUAUUAUGUGGUUAUUAUAUGUUAUGUUAAAUAACUAUUUUACUAUCAAAACUUAUUAUGUGUCAUAUAGUAUAUACAUACAUACAUACCUUUGGUGAUUCUAAAAAUCGCGAGUUCAAACCCGAGUUUCGAAACAAAUUUUAGAUUCUGAAUGGAGCGAAGAAGCCUCUGGUUUUACAAAGAUGUUUAUUUGUAUUUUUUUUUCUGUAGACAACUUUUCUAUCAGAGCUCUUGCACUGGUUUUUAAGUAUAGCACCUUUUCUAAAAGGAAAUCGGUGUAGGGAGGUACAUUAAGGAGGUCAUUUUUUUGUUUUUCUCAUUAGAUUUCCCAAUAAAUGGGAAAACCGUAGGGAGAACGGAAAAAUAGGUAAAAACAUUUUUAAAGAAAAUACAUAUUGCCUAUGUGAUUAUUUUACCAUAAUAUAUGAUAUAUAUAUUGUUGACAAAGUAACUACACUAUCAACUGGAUUCCGCUCAGAAUUGUUUUUCCGUUAGCAAAGGCUAAUCGUUACGAACAGAUGUAUAUAUAUAUAUAUUAAAUUACCUAUAACAAUGGCUGCACUCGUCCCCAUUAUUCUAGUACGUCUCAUUCAAACAAAUAUAUAUAAUUAUAUCAAACUAAAAUAAACUAAUAAAUAAUAAUCGAAAAUUGUAUGCAUUUAUACAACAUGUUCGUUUUAAUUUAAUUUUUUUUUUUUCAUUUCGAGAUAGAAACGCCUGUUCCAAUUGAAGGUAUAGGUAUAUUAAUUUAUAUAAUCAGUUCAUAUUACAUAAUUAUCAUAUGAUAAAUUAUCGUUAUUAUAGUAUUUAGUUAUGGUAAUUUCUGAAAAAUAAAAACUUUAUAAGGAAAAUUGAAAAAAAAAUUAUAGAAUAAUAAAUGUAUAGUACUCGCGUGAGAUUAGGUAAUAGCGAGGUUUUUUUUUUAUAACACUCACUUUCCCUCAAAAAAAAAAAUAAUAAUAUCUAAUAUAAUUUUACAUUUUAUAAUUAACAGUUUAAUAAAAUACCUUUAUUGUGUUUAUUGUUCAUUAUUAGGUCCUUAUGAGGAUAAAAAUAUAAAUAAAGUUGUUAAAG